GGGCCAGUAGAUUAAUGGUAUAUCACGUCCCAGUCAAGGAUGAUAUUGUGGGUUCGACACCCACCUGGUCCAC
rnacentral:tRNA from 1 species